rnacentral:tRNA from 1 species
AAUAAAAUGCCUGAAAAAGGGUUACUUUGAUAGAGUAAAUCAUGUAAUUAACCUAAUUACUUUUAUUA